GCGUUAGUGGUGUAGCGGUAACAUUCAACCCUUCCAUUAGGAUUGUGAGGUUGGGCUCUGGGUUCGACUCCCAGCUAACGCA
rnacentral:tRNA from 1 species